UACACUCCUACGGGAGGCAGCAGUGGGGAAUAUUGCACAAUGGGCGCAAGCCUGAUGCAGCCAUGCCGCGUGUAUGAAGAAGGCCUUCGGGUUGUAAAGUACUUUCAGCGGGGAGGAAGGCGAUAAGGUUAAUAACCUUGUCGAUUGACGUUACCCGCAGAAGAAGCACCGGCUAACUCCGUGCCAGCAGCCGCGGUAAUACGGAGGGUGCAAGCGUUAAUCGGAAUUACUGGGCGUAAAGCGCACGCAGGCGGUCUGUCAAGUCGGAUGUGAAAUCCCCGGGCUCAACCUGGGAACUGCAUUCGAAACUGGCAGGCUAGAGUCUUGUAGAGAGGGGUAGAAUUCCAGGUGUAGCGGUGAAAUGCGUAGAGAUCUGGAGGAAUACCGGUGGCGAAGGCGGCCCCCUGGACAAAGACUGACGCUCAGGUGCGAAAGCGUGGGGAGCAAACAGGAUUAGAAACCCUGGUAGUCC
rnacentral:rRNA from 1 species